GCGCGAGUGGCGGAAUUGGCAGACGCGCACGGUUCAGGUCCGUGUGUCCGAAAGGACGUGGGGGUUCAAGUCCCCCCUCGCGCA
rnacentral:tRNA from 1 species